rnacentral:tRNA from 1 species
GUGUAUGUAAUUUUAAAAAAAAUAUCAAGAUGUGACCUUGACAAUAGAAGUUAACUUCUCAUACAC